rnacentral:rRNA from 1 species
AUGAAGCUAGUGAUGUGCUUGUGCAUCUUCAUCGUUCUCGUCAUCACCGCGUCGCCUAUCGCGGUCUCCGGUGACCGUCCGCUGAUGCUGGGCCGACGGUGCCUGCAGGACGCCGUGGUCAUCGGCGGCAGCCCAACCCCAACAGGGGCGAGCACCACAGGGACGUUGCCGCGUGACGCGGAGCCGGACAUAUCGGUUGAUAGGUCGAAGAGGCUCAGCCCCGGGGGAUCUAACCCCCAGCAUCACUGA